UCUAUAUAGUAAAUAGCUUUAUCACAUGAGUUAUCUUUACUAGCCUCAGAAGACAAGACGUUGCAGAAGGGGACAUUACAAUGGUGGCAACACCGUUGGUUGCCAAAAAGCACACCAUUUAUAAAAAAAAAUAUUAGUUUUUUUGAAAAAAUAAAAAAAUAAAUGGAAUGGAACGUUGUAGCAACGUUGCCAGUGUCUCUAGCAACCUCCAUAUAAAAAAUUAUGUUGCGAUGUCGAACUUGUCAUUUUACUCUCCACCACUCAGGCUAUAAAACCCACGUGACCUUACCUUACCUACUUUCUGGCAAGAGUGGAAAUUUCAGAUGCCACAGCUUGAUGGCUACUCCUGACCAUGCUGGUGCAGCUGACUGCCCGAGCAUCCUCGACUCGACAUCGCUUUUGUGCUCGUUGUUGAACAUAUGAUGGCUGUCAUGGUGACAAUGUCUAGUGACCUUUCUGAUUCUCAGUCACAAAUGUGUUAAAACGAAAACCCUUUGUGCUAUUAAUGCAACUUGAGAUUGCAUGAACAUGUAUUAAAUUUAGUGGCCCUUUUUUCCCUUUUGCCUGAAAUGGCUCUGGAAUUUUGCUUUUAAACGUUUGAUUAUCUAAAACUCAUUGAAUGGAGUCCUCUUGUUCGCUAGAAAAAUAGUUGCCAAUGAAUAACAAUUGGUUUUGGGCUUCUUCAGAUCGUUUGCAUGUCUCAAUGAAUAUGGAUCGUUAAUUAUA